rnacentral:ncRNA from 1 species
GCUUAUUCUCAGGGCGGGGUGAAAGUCCCCACCGGCGGUAAAUCAUCAGGUGUAACAGCCAAGUGAAAGCCCGCGAGCGCUUAACUUAGCCAACGCUAGGUUCAAGGUCAGCAGAUCCGGUGUAAUUCCGGGGCCGACGGUUAUAGUCCGGAUGGGAGAGAGUAACG